GGAUUCAUACUCAUGAGUUUUACAUACAUACCUGUACCAACUCGUAAUGUAGUCACAUACUUUGACAUACUCUUCAGAUUACCCGUUGAACACUUGGAAUACUAUCGGAUACACGGAAAGUCUUGCACAUAAGUGUCACAAAUGUAGCCAAUUCUACCUCAUAUCUAAUAAAACAUAGGGCUCACACAUGAGCUAAUCACGGGCCUACUCACAC
rnacentral:lncRNA from 1 species